GGUUGCCGUGGCGACACAGCGCGGCAUGGCGGCGGGCGGGCGGCCGCUAGGCCUGUGGCAGCAGCUGUGCGCAGAGUAUGAAGCAGAACAGCCUCCGUUUCCAGAUAUUCCUGAAUCAAAACAACAAUCUGUGUCUUUGGAAGCAGGAAUGCUGCAGCCAUUACGGAUGGAACAAUUUUACUCAGCCCCUGCAGCUGAUACUGUUGUCCAACAGUUGCUUCCCAGUCCCGAGGCAGCCCCCCUUCCAGAACCACCUGAUCCCAAAAUGUGUUCUCCUCGAGAAUACUUAGAGUGUUACAUCUUUCCAGUGCUCUUACCUGGACUGGCUGAACUUCUACAUCGGGCACAGAAGGAAAAGUGUUUUGAGAGAAAAAGGACCAAAUUUAUUGCCUGUGAUUUCCUAACUGAGUGGUUAUACAAUCCUAGGCAACCAAUGCCUCUGUCUCUCCACCUAUCAGAAGAAGAAGCAAGCAUAAUAAUUCAGUCAUUCUGGAGAGGUUAUCGGGUCCGCUGUGAUACGGAAGUGCAAGAGCUACGUCAGUGGCAAAAGCAGUUGAGAGACGAAGAAAACAUUUCUCAAAGAGUGGAAGAAUUCUGGACUAAGCAGGAAGCCAAAGCUUCCUUACAAGGAGGAGACCUUUAAAGUUCCUGCUUAAGCACUUGGAGGGAAAAUGACCCGACACUGUCACAAACAAGAGCUCUCUUUUCCUACACGUCUGGUCUACAUCCAGAGGAAACAUCAAAACCAGAGGAAAACAACGAUAGAUAAAGAUGAAAACAAAGCCUCAUGACGGAGAGGUUCCCUUCACCUGAUGGCUCUGAUGCAGUGAGACAACACUCAGCACCCACGUCCCCGGCUGGUUCAGGCUUGUCCAUCUUCUGAGAGUCACUGUGAGCUCCUGCUGCCUGGCCCCGUGCUGACCUAGACUUGCUCUCCUGAUGCCCCUAUUUGGGAAGUACACCAGUGGAAAUAUGGCUUGCCAUAGCUCUUGUGUCUUCUUCAUGGAACGACAGCUUGGGUGGCUCAAAAACUGGUGGCAGGGUCUGUGAGCAGAGGAUGAGCUGCUGAGGAAUUUCUCAAGCUGAAACCAUACAAAUAAAGAUUGGGUCUGUUCUUCCUUUGUGGGUCGUUGGUUCGCUGAGAACAGAACGGGCGCCUGGUCUGAUUCCCUGCAUUAAUGUGCCUUGUUCCACUCUCAAUCUGCACUGGAACUGUUGCAGCAUCUCUCUUAGGCUGUUGUUACUGUUGACCUUCUGGCUCUGGAUGCUGAAGGGUUUCUUGGUAAGCCAGUCACUUGUUCAUUUUGAUUUGCUUAAAGUUUCUGCCUUCAUCUUGCUUUGCGCAGGCCAGAUGCUGGUGUGUAGCAUGGUGGCAGACUUUUCUUCCUGAGCUCUGUGGAAAGCUCUGCAAGUAGGAGUAAUGUAACUGUGAGUGUGGCUGGAGAGCUGGGCACAGUGACACAGUAGUUCCCCAAACCAAUAAUAGCUAGGCAGCUGCUGCAAAGGUCUAACAAAUCAGAUGAGUCUUUUUUGCCUUCCUUCCCCCCUCAGGCCUCUUUACAGUAGUUCACAAUUCAUAGUGAAGAUUAGAGUCUUUCACCUUGUGCCUCGUGAGGACAUUGUUGCUGGGAUGGAUGGUACCCUGUAUGCUUCAGCAUGUGGCUGCUUUUACUGUACGAAAGACCCCGAGAACAGGGAGGUAUUCCAGUAAAUGUUAAGUUUUCCCAGAGAAAUGGAAACUAGCCAAUGAGAUGAAACAUCUUUCCUACCAGCACAGGGAGCGGAACGGAGCAAAAAAGGGUGGCAGGGAGAAACAGGAAAGAAAAAGCAAUUAAAAUGCAGCCCUUUCCUAAGGCCAUCAACUAAUGUAAUAUUUGUGUGAAGCAGUUAAUGGGGCUGAAGUCUGGGCCCUUACUGUGCUGGAGGCAGGCAGAGGGUGAUGAGGGCAGGCAGGGAACGUACAGAGCAGACCCCAGCAUCCCCCAACAGCAGCGCUGUUGGUGACAGGUGUGUAACCAUGAAAGUGGCUGGGACCAGAAGUGCCUCUGACUUCUGUUCCCCCACUGCUGUGUGGUGUAAUCCUGGUUGCAGGGCAAGCCUUUAAUCAGAGGUAGCAGCUUGUAUCCUGUUCCCAGUCCUGCAGCGUCACCCAAGUCUCAGUUCUUGACUUUCACCUCUCUCGGGUGCAAACAUGGCAAGAGGAAUCAAAUUUACAGCCACAGUCCUACUGCCAAGGACCUUCUGCCUUGGGUUUUGUUCCUUCCAAUUUGUUCUCCUCGCAGCCUUAGCUACUUGCUGCUGCCAGUAAAAUGCGUGCUGUCAGUGUCUGACCGUGCCAGAUGCAGCAUUUGAUUUCCAAAAUGAUUUUAAAAGCUUAAUUUGUUUUAUUCUCCAUUAAAGAAAACUUUCCUCUGUAAGGAGGACAUAAAUUAGGAUUUGGGGAUGAAGAGGUCAUACACAGGAAGGCAGAAGCUCUGACUUUCCCGGUAACCUCAGACAGGGACUAGCCCUGUGCCCUAUUGCUGUUGUGCUGUUACAGGACCAGCAGCAAGUCUCACCCAGGUCACCUCCUCUUGCCUAGACAUGGGAUCAGUGUUUUCUCUCAAGCUAGCCUUCCUUGAUCAUGGGUAUUCCCACCUCUGAGCUUUGGGUUUGAGAUGAGCCUGGAGGACUCAGCUGCACUCCUUUAAGGAGAGCUUUCUUGCUGUGCUCACCUCUCUGUGCCAGGUCCUUUGAAUGGGUUUACAGAUGGGAUGGACAGCGUUGCCUUGGACCUGCCAUCCAAAAAGCUUUCCUGGGCUCUGAGAUAGGAUGACUCACACAUUUAGACUUCUGGAGCCUGACAGAGCUGAAGAGCUAGCAUAGUGCACUGGUUGGGAAAUGUCGCAUGAAGCUGGAGACCCAAGCACUCGAGGAACAUAAGGACAGAUGCUUCCUAGAUUUUUCUUCCAAGCAAUUUGCAAGCAUGUGACUGUUUCAUGUUCUGUGAGAAGGACGUGGGACACGUAAGUAAACACGUGAAGCAACCACUGGAACUCUAGCUCUCUCCUUAAGGGUUUCCCACCUCCUCUAUUUCUAUCAGACAAAACUCUUCCAUCGAAGUGGUCCUGUCCUAUUUGAAGAAAUUUAGCCCAUCCGUUUCAUCUCACUAAAACAGACUUGCAAAUUGGGAGCAUUUGGCUGAAUUAGCUUCCUGAGUAGAAUCACAGGGUUGCUUUUCAUUGGAAA